GUCAAAAGGUUGAGAACUGCUGAUCUAAACUCUUCCCCACCGAUGGUCUUAAAAUCUGAUCCGUUUUGCGCUGAUUAGCACUUAUCCUGGGAGAGGAGAUCAGACAGAUGAAGCUGACAUGCUUCCACCGGAACUCAAACUAGACUAAGCUUGAAUGGUGACUGCUGCUGAUAUUUAAAAAGGCGUUAACGACAUGAUUUGAGUUCUAUUGAGCUAGAAUGUUCUUUAAAGGGCUGGUGUUGAUGAAAUACCAUUUUAAAAGUUAGUGCUGAGUAGAGAGGUUUGCUGAUGUAAAAGUAAAGGGAUCCCACUUACUUUCGCGGAUGCACUUAUAGAAGCAGAAAACAUGAAAAAACAACGAAAACCUCGCCUGGAUUCACUUUUAACCUUCAGACCUUCCACCUGAUAGUCGAAGGAACUCGAACGAACUUUCAAUUACACCGUGAAAGUACGCAGUAGGGAAGGAGAGAACUACUUACUAAUAAAAUAUGCAAGCUUAUGUAUAUGUUACCAGCAAAGUCUGAGUCCAGCAUUUUAUAGAAUGCCGGAAACUGGCCGGCAAUGUAUGAAACGAUCAAAUACUUUACACACUGCCUGAAGCAUUCUAUAGGAUGCCAAAUGACAAACAGGCAAAGUAUAAAAUAACCUCUGGUUCGCUUCAAAAACCGAAAGCAUAAUUCACAAGUGCACAUCAGUAUCGCCACUGGAGGAGAAGAUUAAAAAAUAGACCAAUGAGCUUCCAUUGCUGUUGUGACGCGGAAUCUUUGAAACUGUGCAUACGAACGCAUGUUUUUGUUUACGUUUUAUUUUGCAUUUGUUUCGCAGUUAUAAUUGUACGACCAUAUAAAUGCUGCUAUCAUUUGAAUA